rnacentral:rRNA from 1 species
UAGGCUGCAACUCGCCUACAUGAAGUCGGAAUCGCUAGUAAUCGCGGAUCAGCAUGCCGCGGUGAAUACGUUCCCGGGCCUUGUACACACCGCCCGUCACACCAUGAGAGUCUGUAACACCCAAAGCCGGUGGGAUAACCUUUAUAGGAGUCAGCCGUCUAAGGUAGGACAGAUGAUUAGGGUGAAGUCGUAACAAGGUAGC